AUAAAUCAUUGUUAAAAUUCUAGCUCAGUUACAGUAUGUUUGCUAACCCCGCAUCCAUCCCCUGAAGCUCAGGCCUCACAAUUGUUAUCCUGGCCCACAGUUUUUGUGGUUCCUAAGCUCACCUACGAGGCUGAAUUUGAGCUUCAUCUAAAGAAUGCAGAGUUUGAGACAACUGGUACAUACUUCCAGCCUGGCCUAAAGCUGAAAGGAGUCAUUCUUGAUGGCCUAGCCGAAGAAAUGAUCAAAUUCACAAAAUAUCCAAAAGACUAUCAGUGUGAAGAGGUAGCUGCAGCGUUGACGAGGGCCCACCCUUGUUUGGGGCAGCUAGGAUCCAAGAUAGGAUUUGGGGGGUGGAAACAGUCUCUUAAGUACAAAAUGCAAAACUAUCGUACAAAGCUUGGCCGUCUUGGACAUCCUGAAAUCCUUGUGAACUCCUUAAAGCACAAGAAAACAGGCCAAGGCAAAGCUGCAGCAAACAUAACAAAACCAAGAAAAGCUGAAGUAAACUACAUUCCUCUGCACCCAAAAGGCGAAACCACAGAAAGCUUGGAGAACGAGAGAAUUGCCUUAUUGUCAGAACUGAAAAAGCGUGACAAUGAAGUGGUGAUAAAAGCAAAAAUGGAAAAAACCUUCUCCCACAGACGCCUUGAGAUUGUGGAGCAAAGGCCUUUGAUAGGGGACUUCAAAUGCAGAUGGCCUGCUCUGUUUCAGCAGAGUGAAGUGAAUGCGGAGUUUUUGAGGAUCACAACAUCACCACUUCAAUCAAAGUUCAUGUGGCAGCUGGACCACUUCUCAGACAAGCUCUUGAAGAUCUUCAAGAUCAAAGGAGGACUAAAGGGCCAGAAAAAUCAAGGAAGCCCUUGCAAUAUCAGAUUUGUUUGAAAACAUCCACAUCAAGAGGGGGUGCAUCCUGCGAAGCAUCGCGAUCUACCUCAACGAGGAUCCAGACUCUUUUUUUAAGGAGUAUCAGGCCUCUGCCUCUGAAGAUGCCAAGAGGGACAUGGCAAACACAGUCAUGGGCAUAUACACACUUCAAAGAGAUGUGGAUGGGCAGCCAGAGGACGUGGGAAUUGUCAUCGAAGGCAAUAUAGUCAUGGACAACUUGGGCAGCAUGAUUGUGGGGUUUGUCAUGCUAUUGGGACUUAUUUAUGCCCUGGAUUUGAGCUUUCCGGACAACCUCAAACACACCUUCGAGUUCAUGCAGAAGGUAGUGAUGAAUCUGGAUGGGCACAAGCUGAAUGGUAAAAUCGAAAGUCUGAAGAUCAAGUUGUUCGAUUGAAAUGUGAAAAAGAAGUGACUCAUGAGUUCAUUGUUGUCAUUUUAUUCACGAGUUUCCUAAUCAGAGCAGAUUGAGCCGUUAUAUCAAUCAUUUGUUCUGUGCUUUUCUGUAUUUGUUUCAACACACUGUAACACUAUUUCCAUAUGUUGGUGUUUGCAGUGCACUCUUCAUGUUAUGUGUUAUUGUCCUGUUAGAAGAGCAGUGCAUACCCCUGUUAUAUUGUAUUCAUUGUAUUUGGCAAAGGGAGAUUUGUAAGUUAAUUAUAGGAGUUCCAUUUCUCUGCCAUUUUAAAAAUGGUAUUAUCUUUCAGAAAUGUUUUUCAUCUUUCAGUGUGAAUUCAUUCAUUUUUAAAACACUGUAUUGAAUGGAAUGGAGGAUUGUUUUGAAUAAUGUGAAUUUAAAAAUAAAAAAAACUAAACCAUGUUUUCUAUCAUGUGUAACACAUUUUUAUUAAAUUAUAUUUAACCUCAUUAUUUCAUUUUCAAUUAAUUAAAUAGGAUUUAGGUGGACUAGCAUUAUCUAAAUUCAUAAAGGUAAUGUUAUCAUUUUACUUAAACUCUAUUUGAAAAAUUUGAGUUGGACUAACUCAUUUACAUUAUACUGCAUGGAUGCCAUUAGUUUGAGUUUGUGCCACAUAUAUUUAUUGGAUGGAAAACCUGCCAACAAUAAAAUUGAGUUAAUCCAAUGAGUUAUUUC